CGCUACAUCACGCUCGCCAAUCAUGCAUGCAAAUCCAUUGACCACUGUGACAAAGGUUGCUAUAAAACCAUUGGACCUAUCAUCGAUCAGGGCAGUCGCAUAAACAGCUCGACAGAAACGCAUCAAGUAUGAAGCUUACACUUUUCCUUGCAUUUUUGACAGUACUGGCUACCAUCGCCCAUGCGGCAACGGUAGGGUCAUCAAGGGCUGCAGGAAUUACCGCACCUGUUGGAGGCCUCGAGUAUACAACGGAUGCUGGCCCGCCUGCUGAGAUGUUGCGCCAGAAUCAAAAAUAUUCCACAACGACCAGAAAAGCGGAUGAACCGAGGUACAUGCUUCGGGGAUAAAUCGACCCUCCGAACAGCGCAUUGUCCACCUGAGGAAUCUUGAUAAGAAUCUAUCCCAGCUUUUAGAUUUAACAGUGGGAAAUUUAAGUAUCGUCCGUGCUUGUAAUAUUUUUUAAGCUGAAAAUUGCAAAAUAAACAAAACAAGUAAGCAAAACAAUUAUUACUUUACACUUUUUUUAUUGAAGUCGCUUACUGGCUAUGAAAAUAUAAUGCUUGCCACAUCGCCGUAUGUUGCGAUCAUUGUUCUCACCAAUUAUCUAAUGCAUCUUACGUUCUAGAUUGCUAUCUCCCCUGUUUCUCUGUUUCUCCCCUGUCCCCUGUUGUAAGGAUAGCAAAUCGAAUCGAAAAAGGAUCAAAAUAAUGGGAAAGGCCUGUGAUAAAUACUUACAUGCAUUGUCUUUAAACUAACGCUAACCAGUUGGCGUUAACUUAUUGCAUUGAAAGUAUUAAAAAUCUUUCUUACAUUGGGGGCUUUUACGAUAUCAGCCAGCUGUUUUAUAUGGUGUUUGUCACUUACAGGUUUAAAUCAUGUCAACACUCUUUACAAAACCACUUACAUAGCCCUUAGCCUUAGAUUUUCAGCCCAGAUUAUUUCAGCUUAAUAAAUAUUUAAACAAACGCCGAUUCGUCUCAGGCACGUUCAGAUUAGUGAAUGAAAGAUUGAAUUUUUUGGAAGAUGCAUAAAUAUUGAGUGAAUAAUAGUUAAACGUUAUUUGAACCAUUUAUUAAAGUUUCACAAAAGUGCUAUAACAUGUUUCAAACAGAAAAAGGAAAAUAAAACAAUUUUAUAAUGCAUCUUAGUUUGUACACAAACGCUUCCAUCCAAUAUGGCGGACCUUAACUGUCACAUGGAUACAACCCAGAUGAUAAAUACUGUUCCACUGAUAGACUGCAAAUUUCAGCCAUAUGGCUUAAAAUAAAGAAGAGAUCAUUGUUAUAAAAAUGUAAAGUAUUAUUAAACAUUGAAACGAGAUUAACAUAGACACGUUUUGCCCCAAAAAUUCUAUGAAUGAACCAACUCAACCAGUUUUUGACAACUUGGUGCAAUUUGCUAGUACUCACCAAGUUGUACAGCAUAUAUACUUUUUUUGUUAAACCACCAUAGUAUAUCUACCAGAACAUCAACAAAAGCUCUGCUUAUCGAAGUAGCUCUAACACCCAUAACGUAAGCAAAGGCAAUCAGUUACAGUAAAGCAUCACGCUUAUUAUUCCCAAUUUCCAUGACCCAUUUGUUGUACACUACUCUUUUUGAAUCACUAUAAAACAUCGCCUCCACCAUAGUCCGCCGGUGAGUCCUAAAGACGCAAUAGAAAUGAAAAUCAUCGUAGUACUGCUUUCCUUGAUUGCUAUGGCGUUCGCCGCUUCAAUACCAUGGAGAAGUUAUUAUGUUUACCGCCCAGUUCGUGUAAGUCCUACACGAGACCAAGACGCACUCAACACUCAA